CAUUUAUGUCUUCUCCCUCAAUUCACAGGAACAAACUCAGGAGCAAAACUUCAUCGCAAAAGGAAUGGCUUCCUACUUUUCUCCAGCCUUCAAAUCACCUGAAAGCUCCUGCUCAAGUUGCAUCUGUGUUGAACAGUCUGUGCCAUGCCAGGCCUCUUUGUUUUGUGGAUUCAUAAGGUAAGCAGAUAUAUGUCAUAUUUUCUUCCUGACCACCCUCCACACUUCAACUUGAAAUCCACAGUGCCUUCCCCCUCAAGCUGCCAGUGAGGUGAAUGCAAUCACCGUUAUCAGCAAUGCUUUGUAUAAGCAACUCACAAACCCUGCUAUGAUGGAUUUACUGCAGUUGAGUGUUGUAGACAACAGGAAGACCAAAUGGAGUGGAGAGAUUGAUAGAAAGAUCAUUUUUCUUCAUCCUAAAUAAAC
rnacentral:lncRNA from 1 species